AGUGAACGCUGGCGGCAGGCCUAACACAUGCAAGUCGAACGGCAGCACAGCAGUAGCAAUACUGUGGGUGGCGAGUGGCGGACGGGUGAGGAAUACAUCGGAAUCUACCUUGUCGUGGGGGAUAACGUAGGGAAACUUACGCUAAUACCGCAUACGAACUAUGGUUGAAAGCGGCGGACCGCAAGGGCGUCGCGCGAUUGGAUGAGCCGAUGUCCGAUUAGCUAGUUGGCGGGUAAAGGCCCACCAAGGCGACGAUCGGUAGCUGGUCUGAGAGGAUGAUCAGCCACACUGGAACUGAGACACGGUCCAGACCUCCUACGGGAGGCAGCAGUGGGGGAAUAGUUGGACAAUGGGCG
rnacentral:rRNA from 1 species